CUGCUGAAAGUCUCGUCUUUCUCGGUAUGCUGCUGAAGCAACUGCGGAACAUGUCGGGCGAUCCGCCAGAAACCCUAAACCCUAAACCCUAAACCCUAAACCCUUAAUUGAUAUUUGAAGGGCAAAUAAGAAAAGUAUUUGCUAUAUGAAGGGUAUAUAAGAAAAGUUAGUUACGGUAUAAGGGUAUAUUGAAAUGAGCAAAAUGGUAAUUUUUUAGAGAUAACGGCAACUGUUAACACCUUACUAACCGAAUUUAACUCCAGGGGUAUAUUAGAAAGAACUUGGAACAUAAGAAGAGUAUUUUCAAUAUUAGCCUUCUAAAAGGGGUAAAUAAGAAAACCGGAAACUUUUCAGGGAUAUAUAGGCAAUUGCUCCUAGAAUUUAU
rnacentral:lncRNA from 1 species